GACGAACGCUGGCGGCGUGCUUAACACAUGCAAGUCGAACGGAAAGGCCCCCUUGUGGGGUACUCGAGUGGCGAACGGGUGAGUAACACGUGAGUAACCUACCCUUGACUUUGGGAUAACUUCAGGAAACUGGGGCUAAUACCGGAUAGGAGCUCCUGCUGCAUGGUGGGGGUUGGAAAGUUUCGGCGGUUGGGGAUGGACUCGCGGCUUAUCAGCUUGUUGGUGGGGUAGUGGCUCACCAAGGCUUUCACGGGUAGCCGGCCUGAGAGGGUGACCGGCCACAUUGGGACUGAGAUACGGCCCAGACUCCUACGGGAGGCAGCAGUGGGGAAUAUUGCACAAUGGGCGGAAGCCUGAUGCAGCAACGCCGCGUGCGGGAUGACGGCCUUCGGGUUGUAAACCGCUUUCGCCUGUGACGAAGCGUGAGUGACGGUAAUGGGUAAAGAAGCACCGGCUAACUACGUG
rnacentral:rRNA from 1 species